GUACAUGCAUGCACGAACACACAAAUACAGAUGUUUACCAUGUACAUGUUCUAUUAUGUUUUUUGUAUGUACAUUUGUUUAGGCUCAUUUCUUGGUAUUAAAUUAUAAAUGUUUUCCCUGAAGAAGGCUCAUUCUCAGAAGUCAGUGAUAAUUCAUCUAUGUGAGGCCUUGUGAAAUUUCCAGUAUCCAUGUUAGUAUGUCUGUUGAUGGUAUUGCAUAGCUUCUGUCAUGUCUAGGAGGAGUUGCUAUUUAACCCUCCCCAUGUUCUGGAGAUUCAUAAACAGGAAGCUCUGAGAUUUGGGUGUGAGUGGUGACUUCACAUUUGAAGAAAAUCUAUGGUCUUAUUUCUGAACUAAAGGUGACCCUUCCUUUUCUGCAAGCCAGAGGUGAGUUUUAAGAUAAACAUUAUUUUGCUAGUGUAUUUACCAUUCUGGACUAUGUAUUCUAGACUAUUACAAACAUAGUUUCUUAAAAAUUUUUAUAGGUUAUAAUUAUGCAUCAACAUGACAAUCUAUAAAUGUCCAUGGAAGAACUUUAAACACAUAAAAAUCUCUUAACCACUUAGACAUCCUAUGGUCUCCAUUUUAGGGGAAUUUAAUACAAGGUAUCAUGUAAUCUAGGUACACCUCAAAUUUCUCUUGUGGAUGAAGAUUACGUCAAUCUCAUCCUUCUGCUUCAAUAUGCUAUGUUCUAGUAUUUCAUAAAUUUCUGUUAUGCUCUACUUCAUCCUAGACAUAUGUCAGCUAUUUAUUCCCAGCAUGUAUGAAGGUGUGUUUGAUUAAGUAUAAACCAGUUGCACUGGUGCUGCAUUGGUGCAUCUUGGAAAUGGAGGCAAAGAGAUUAAUGGUACAGUUUCAAGUGAGUUCUAUAGAACGGGGUGUGAUAAAUAAAACACUGUCCCAACAUCAGAAUUUUGAGGAUUACUUGAAAAAUACACAUUUUCUAAAUUUUAGUCCUUAAUUAUCAUCUAAUUUUGGACAGAUUGUGUAUUAAUGUAUUUGAAACUGGUUUCCUAUAUGCUAUUAAUGUACAAUAGGGUAUUGGGGGUGAAAGGGAAUUAGAAAAGUUAUAUAAUAUUCAAUGAAAUACUUGUCUAAUAAUUUUACAGACUUGCUUCUCUUAUCUACUGAUUUAAACAGGUUCAUACAGUUAAAGAUUUGAAAUUGCUUCUUAGUUCUUUUAUUACCUUUCAGAGAAGCUGUUCAUUUUUCUUUGUACAUGUCAUUUCAGUAUGUGAAUUUUAUAAAAUCUAUUAAAGCAUGCUUUUUGUAGAACAGUAUCCAAUUCUGAAAUAAAUUAUAUCUGUUCAUAUUAUUUUAGACUAAUGUGAUGUCCUGCUGUCAAUUUAGAUUAUAACUGAAGAAAGAAAUUUUUAAUGAAUGUCGUGAAGUUUUAUGGCCUUAGCUACCAUGACUACCAUCCUGUACUAUUAUAAUAAAGCUGUAAAUCCAAAUAGCUGCAAUUUAAAGGUAAUGUAAUCUUUUGUUGAAAAGAAGAACAUUUUACAGAGACCUUGACUAGAUUUAUGAUGACAUGGGACCUUGUCUGAACACAAUGAUUUCAAAAAUUGAGCUUAGAGUGACUCUGAAAUCUAGUCAAUUUGCCUCACUAUAUUAUAUUGCUUACUGUUCACAGUAGAAUAUUUUCUUAGGUGGGCAUAUUGGUACAUACUUCUAAUAACAGCACAUGGGGUGCUGUAAUGAGAAAAUUGAUAUUUUCCAGGCCCAAUUACUAAAGGAAAGCAAAUAGUCAUAUUUGAAAUGACAACAUUGCAUCCUCAGAAUUGGAAGAAGUAGUGCACAGAUUUUCUACUUUAUCUAAUAUCUUUUAUAUAAAUAUUUUGUCUUUUUGCCUUUUAUAUUUGUUGAAAGCAAAAAUGAAAUGUCCUUGGAUCACAAAAGGCAUAGGCACCUGCUGACAUGGAUAACUAUAAAAUGGAGUUUCCAACUCAUGAAAAGAAUCAAAAGCACCUUUCUAUAUUUUAAUAAUUGAAGAUUUGUGCAAGUGAAUUAAUGUAAACUGUACAUGCUUGGAAAUUGUUACGAUACCAUCUAGAAUGAACAGUUUUAAGCAAACAGAAAACAUGUUCAGGAAGAAUGUUAAAAUUCUAAUACUUGUAAAUAGAAAGAAGAUGACAUUUCACUGCCUUUGUGCUUCAUGAGUGCUUUUGCAAAUAACCAUCAAAACAAGAAGAAAAUAUUGAAAAGGCAAUUUGUGCCAAUACUUUUGUCAACCUCAUGGGAGUACUGGACUGCCUAUCCAAGUCUAUAUGCCUUUAUGGUUUUUCAAUUUGUGAAGAAUGUAAGAAACUUCAGAGUCUUAUCAGCAAAGCAUAGUACAUUAUCUAACAGAAAAGAGAAGAUAAAGUUUUUGGUGCUCAUGAUGACUUACUAGUCCUAACCUGAGAACAGCUGAUGGAAGUGUGAGAAAAUAUACAUUCCUGAAAACUCGAAGUGGUUAUCAAAUCUUGGUUCUACAGCUGAUAUAAUGAUCUGAAAGGUUGCAGAGAGUAAACACUCUUGUGAAUCAUCAUAAUAGAACUCAGAUAUUUGGAUAGAGACUGGAAUUUUGAUUUGAAGACAAUUUAUAAAUAUUUUCUGAUUGUUAAUUUGGAAUUAACUCAAGAAGUAGAGACACUACUACAUGGAUAAGAAUUGAAUGAUUGAAUUGACAUUGGCAUCAUCUCAAUGUUUUCAUAAAAUAUUCACUGUAGUCAAUUUUUUCCUCAGAAUUGAUGCUUACAAAUACUUGUCAACUUGGAGAAAUACACUUUUAGUUUUAUUUGCAUCACACUUAAUAGAUUAGAGAAUAGAUUGCUUUAAAUUUAUUCUUCAUAUACAACCUCAAGGAAUAGCGUUGUCCAACUGUAGUCUGUUCUACUUAAGAGAAAACACAGGAGGACUGCAUGUUUGAGGUCGCCUUGACAACAGUGAAACCGCUUCUCUCCAUCUCAACAAUAAAAAGGUGGUAAACAUAUUGACAUACGCAUCAAAUAUGCUUUUCUGAAGAGGUUUCAUCUACAGAAUCUCCCAAAUACCAUUAUAUAUUUAUUGUCUCUGGAGUAUUAUUUUACCUUUCUUGUCUUACAACUUGCAUAGAAGACUUCCAAGGAAUAGAAAUGACCUGCUCUUGGCAAGUAAUUGCCUGAAACGUUCAAUUCUUCUCUUUACAUUAUAUCUUGGACUCCCAUAUUGUUUGUUGCAUAUUAUCUUUUAUUCAUAUUUUAAUUUGCAAAUGGAAGAAACUUUUCUAAGUGGGUUGUAUAGCUAAUGUAUAUAGACUUGCUUAUGAUACUUUGGAUUAUACCAAAAAUUUUUGACUGAUUUAAUCUCUUUACACCAGAUUUAUCAUUUGUGAGAUGGCUUCCUCCUUCUUUGAAUAAGAAACUCAGAUUUAGGCAGGCCAUGGGGAAGAUUAUUUGACACAGUGGUGUUUUCUAGAAGAGAAACUCUGAGUGCUAAUUUUGCUGAUAUUACUGGUCUCUGUCUAGGGCAGAAAUAUGAGUUUCUGUGGUUUACUUUUUCUCCAAUACUCCUGCAGGAGACUUUGGUGCCUUUGUAAUGGAGUGGGUUAAGAAAUGCCUUUGCAUUGAUAAGGAGAGCCAUAGUGUUGUUGUCUUAUAGAAUAUGUGGCAUCAUGUUUUUAUUAAUAUCACAUUCCAGAAUAGAGUAAAAUCUCAUGGUUUCAAAGUGAUUUUAGUUUAUUCUAAAUUUGUUUUUUUUGUUUUGUUUUUCUCCUUAAACUAAAUAAAGUAAUGUGAAGCAGUGCUAAUUUUAAA